rnacentral:rRNA from 1 species
UCUUUAUAUAGUAAAUUACGCCCUGUAUAGACGUACGUCCCGUGUAAUAUUAAUAUAUUUAGUUGGGGUGACACGAAGUCUUAAACACUUCUUUCACAAACAAAAAUUUAAGGUUAAAUGACCCGGCUAGCCGAUCAAAAAAUCAAGU